GGGACCUGGCGCCCAGCCCAGCCCCGCUGACCCUGUGGCCCCCGGGGUGGCGGGGGCCGCGUUGGGUGCACAUGUGGUGGCGUGCGCGUGUGUGUACAUCACAUGGCCCCGCCCGGUGCCAAGCCGUGACGUGGGGGGGGGAGGAGGGGCCGCGGCCUCAGGUCCCCGUGGGUAGCGGCGCCGUUCGGGACUGGGGGUGUGGGCACCGCGGCGCCAUGCGGGCAUGGGCCCUGCAGCGGGUCGACGACGGAGCUGCGCAAGGAGCGGUCGCGGGAUGCGGCGCGGAGCCGGCGCAGCCGCGAGACCGAGGUGUUCGUGCAGCUGGCGCACGCCCUGCCCCUGCCCCGCGGCCUCGGCGCCCACCUGGACAAGGCCUCGGUCAUGCGCCUCACGCUCAGCUUCCUGCGCCUGCGCCGCCUGCUCGCCCACGGGGCGUGGGCUGAGGCCGGGGAGGAGCCGGUGGCCGCCUGCUACCUGAAGGCGCUGGAUGGCUUCGUCAUGGUGCUGAGCGGCGAUGGGGACAUGAUCUACCUGUCGGACAACGUGGGCAAGCACCUGGGCCUCGG